rnacentral:sRNA from 1 species
UUUAUUUUAAAAAUGUAUUAUAAAAAAACCUCCUCCCCCCCCCAUUACACAUACUGCCCCACAAACACUAUCCCCAUACACACACACUGCCCCCCUGUAAUGGGGCAGUGUGUGUAAUGGGGGGGGAGGAGGCUUUUUAAUAAUAAUUAAUAAAAAAAAAUUAAAAAUUUAAUAAAAUAAAUAUGUCCCCCCUCCCUUCUUACCUUUAUUGAGCAGGAGGGGGGACAU